rnacentral:rRNA from 2 species
UAAGGUGAUUAUAGCAACGGGGCUCACCUCUUCCCAUUCCGAACAGAGCAGUUAAGCCCGUUAGCGCCGAUGGUACUACAAUGCGUGGGAGAGUAGGUCGUCGCCUUCU